UACGGAGGGUGCAAGCGUUGUCCGGAUUUAUUGGGUUUAAAGGGUACGUAGGCGGGUCUUUAAGUCCGUGGUGAAAGACUGCAGCUUAACUGCAGAACUGCCAUGGAUACUGGAGAUCUUGAAUUCAGUUGAGGUAAGCGGAAUUUAUGAUGUAGCGGUGAAAUGCAUAGAUAUCAUAAAGAACACCUAUUGCGAAGGCAGCUUGCUGGACUGGGAUUGACGCUAAGGUACGAAAGCGUGGGGAGCGAACAGG
rnacentral:rRNA from 1 species